UACGUAGGUGGCAAGCGUUGUCCGGAAUUACUGGGUGUAAAGGGAGCGCAGGCGGGAAGCCAAGUCAGCUGUGAAAACUACGGGCUUAACUUGUAGACUGCAGUUGAAACUGGUUUUCUUGAGUGAAGUAGAGGUUGGCGGAAUUCCGAGUGUAGCGGUGAAAUGCGUAGAUAUUCGGAGGAACACCGGUGGCGAAGGCAGCCAACUGGGCUUUAACUAACGCUGAGGCUCGAAAGUGUGGGGAGCAAACAGG
rnacentral:rRNA from 1 species